AUGGGAGUUGAUGUUUUGUUGGUUAUUGACGAGAGUAAUGGAGGUGGUGUUGUUCAAAAUGGUUUGGGAUAUGGCAUAAGUGGAGUGGUGGAGAAGUAGUGAAUAGUCAACAUAAUAGGAAAUGAUAAAACAAUGAAAAGAUUUAUGAAAAGCAAUAGAAUAACGAAAAAAGAGGAAAAAAGUAAUAAUAAUCAUAAUAAUGUAACAACUUUAAUCUAACAAACUUACUGAAUGAAUUGUUCCGUGGUAA